AACGGAAAACAUGGCGAGCUUUGACUUGGAGGCUUGUGCUGGUUUCUUAAUCGAAAUCAGCUCCUCUGAAAUGCAUUAGCGUGAAUCUUACGGAUCGCCUUCAGCGUGAUAAUNGUCUACGUUGUGGCUGUGAAGUAUUUGUGUGUUCACGCUUACAGUCAUCUCGCAAGAGAUAAACACUUUUCAACUUCUGAUCUCAAAUCAGGUAGGACUACCCGCUGAACUUAAGCAUAUCAAUAAGCGGAGGAAAAGAAACUAACAAGGAUUCCCCUAGUAACUGCGAGUGAAGCGGGAAAAGCUCAAAUUUAAAAUCUGGCAGUCUUUGAUUGUCCGAGUUGUAUCCUAGAGAAGUGUCUUCCGCGUUGGACCGUGUACAAGUCUCUUGGAACAGAGCGUCAUAGAGGGUGAGAAUCCCGUCUUUGACACGGACUACCAGUGCUUUGUGAUGCGCUCUCAAAGAGUCGAGUUGUUUGGGAAUGCAGCUCAAAAUGGGUGGUAAAUUCCAUCUAAAGCUAAAUAUUGGCGAGAGACCGAUAGCGAACAAGUACCGUGAGGGAAAGAUGAAAAGCACUUUGGAAAGAGAGUUAAACAGUACGUGAAAUUGUUGAAAGGGAAACGAUUGAAG
rnacentral:rRNA from 1 species